rnacentral:rRNA from 1 species
CCUACGGGAGGCAGCAGUGGGGAAUAUUGGACAAUGGGCGAAAGCCUGAUCCAGCCAUGCCGCGUGUGUGAAGAAGGCCUUCGGGUUGUAAAGCACUUUCAGUGGGGAAGAAAGCCUUGGGGCUAAUACCCUCGAGGAAGGACAUCACCCACAGAAGAAGCACCGGCUAACUCCGUGCCAGCAGCCGCGGUAAUACGGAGGGUGCGAGCGUUAAUCGGAAUUACUGGGCGUAAAGCGCGCGUAGGCGGUCUGAUAAGCCGGUUGUGAAAGCCCCGGGCUCAACCUGGGAACGGCAUCCGGAACUGUCCGGCUAGAGUGCAGGAGAGGAAGGUAGAUUUCCCGGUGUAGCGGUGAAAUGCGUAGAGAUCGGGAGGAAUACCAGUGGCGAAGGCGGCCUUCUGGACUGACACUGACGCUGAGGUGCGAAAGCGUGGGUAGCAAACAGGAUUAGAUACCCUAGUAGUC